rnacentral:rRNA from 1 species
ACGAACGCUGGCGGCGCGCCUAAUACAUGCAAGUCGAGCGAGAAGACGUAGCAAUACGUUUGUAAAGCGGCGAACGGGUGAGGAAUACAUGGGGUAACCUACCCUCGAGUGGGGAAUAACUAGCCGAAAGGUUAGCUAAUACCGCGUACGCUCCUUGGACUUCGGUUCAGGGAGGAAAGCGAUACCGUGGGUAUCGCGCUCUUGGAUGGGCUCAUGUCCUAUCAGCUUGUUGGUGAGGAACGGCUCACCAAGGCUUCGACGGGUAGCUGGUCUGAGAGGACGAUCAGCCACACUGGCACUGCGACACGGGCCAGACUCCUACGGGAGGCAGCAGUAAGGAAUAUUGCGCAAUGGGCGAAAGCCUGACGCAGCGACGCCGCGUGGGGGAGU